CCUACGGGAGGCAGCAGUGAGGAAUAUUGGUCAAUGGGCGAGAGCCUGAACCAGCCAAGUCGCGUGAAGGAAGACUGCCCUAUGGGUUGUAAACCUCUUUUAUCAGAGAACAAAGCCCGGCACGUGUCCCUUUUUGCGUGUAUCCGAAGAAAAAGCAUCGGCUAACUCCGUGCCAGCAGCCGCGGUAAUACGGAGGAUCCGAGCGUUAUCCGGUUUUAUUGGGUUUAAAGGGAGCGUAGAGGGUGCGUUAAGUCAGCGGUAAAAUUUCGGGGCUCAACCUCGUAGUGCCAUUGAAACUGGCAGACUUGAGUUGGCUAGAGGUAGGCGGAAUGCGUGGUGUAGCGGUGAAAUGCAUAGAUAUCGCGCAGAACUCCGAUUGCGAAGGCAGCCUACCG
rnacentral:rRNA from 1 species